rnacentral:lncRNA from 1 species
ACUUCUUACAUUCAGGGAUACCCAGACAGUAAUCCAGCCAGGGCUUGUGAAGAAAGACAGGGAGAAGACCAUUUCCACUGGACACUCAACCCAUCCAUCCUAGCCACACAGAAAUGAAGGCAAAGAGCACUUCCUGGCAAGCAAGAGUUAAACAGAAGACUGAAUCCUCUUGCUGUGAAGACCAUCAAGGCCAAAUCUAGGAGGAUGCAAGACCCUGGUUAAGAAGGAAGCCCAGCCAUUUGUCCUUGGUCUCCUGGUAUACUGAUUGCAUUACCAACUUUCAGAGCCACUAUCAAGAGAAUUUGACUGUACAGUCACCUCUAACUCACGAAUUAUGGGACAUUAAGCCAGAAAGAAUAUCUCAACCCUCCCAUAUUUGUUCAGACCAUUAAACUAUCUUAUAUAGAGAGCAUAUUGGAAUUUGUAAUUUCUGUAGCCACAUCAAAUAAA